rnacentral:rRNA from 1 species
UACGUAGGGAGCAAGCGUUGUCCGGAAUCAUUGGGCGUAAAGCGCGCGUAGGCGGCCCCGUAAGUCCGCUGUGAAAGUCAAAGGCUCAACCUUUGAAAGCCGGUGGAUACUGUGGGGCUAGAGUCCGGAAGAGGCGAGUGGAAUUCCUGGUGUAGCGGUGAAAUGCGCAGAUAUCAGGAAGAACACCCGUGGCGAAGGCGGCUCUCUGGGACGGUACUGACGCUGAGACGCGAAAGCGUGGGGAGCGAACAGG